UUCAAUAAAUAUCAUAAGGACCUAAGAGCUACGGUUCAGCAGCUCAAAGUUAGGUUAGUAGAUCUAUUUCAUUUUAUAUAUUUUCAUUUGUAUGGUUGUAUAUAUAUACUAGUCAACAAAAGAAAUGAUACAAGGCAACGUAUUUUCCAUAUAUAAUGAAAUUGGAUACACUGCACCAAGGUAAAUAAUUGCCCAAUUGGUCUAAUAUUUACAAAGUGUUAUAUUCUUACCAAAAUCAUUGAUUUAAGGGAAAUACAUGAAUUUUUUGUUGAUGCCAUUUUAUUUCAAAAAUCGUAUUUUCACCCAAAAAUUCAAAAAUCGAUAUUAGAACUUAAACUUAUGCAUGGUCUGCUUAAAAUUUUGAAUGCCUUUGCAGAUAUCUGAAUACUUAAUUUUCAUCUUCGAAAUUAAGUGCUGACUUUUGUCAUCAUUUUCCGCAAAAUAAAUUUGACCCCUAUGUUAUAUAACACGGUAGUUUCUCACUUUCCAAUUUGGUCAGAUUCUUUUAAUCAUAUGCAUUUGCUUUGGAUAAUUUAACAGUUUUUCCUGUUUUAUUAUAUUUCAUGAUAAAUUGGAGUUCAAACUUGUGUAUCGUUACUUUUGUUGACUAGUAUAUUUAUAUUUCAUUUCAGAGUUCACUCACAGAUGUUUAAUUUGUAAUUUUGGAAUUUUGCAGAUUCAGCUUAGAGAGGAUUUUUCAGUAGUCGACCUUUAAUAUGGCUAAUAGACCAGGAAGAGUGGCAUAUAGAUUAGGCGGGUGGGGAGCAAGAAGGUUCUUUCUGUACGUGACAUGUUUUCAUGGUGUUGGGAAUUAGACUUUGGGGUCUAAUACAUCUAAAAGGAAGGUUAACAUCACAGUUGGUCCGUAAGGAUUGAGGUUGGGAAUGGCAAUUGGAGCUGACUUUUAUGGUAACUUUAACAGUGGCUGCAUGAAAAUGAUUGGGUGACUGUACCAGUAAAGAAUGUAAUUCAGACAAUUUUUGUGUAUGUUUGAGAAAAUGUUUAUAAUUUUUUACAAAAAAAAAAAUAGUGUAAAGAUUUUCCAUUUUCAACAAGAUUGUAAGUUAUAGAUAACUUAUUUUGAAUUUUAAAAUCUCUCUUUUUACCAUUAAAACCAAAGGAUAUACUCAGGUAGCUCUACUCAUGUCCAUUCUUGACAAUUUUUUUGUCAUGCAUAUUGAUACUGAACUGGUUUUUGUCUCACCUUGACGGAGUCGAAAAGCGAGACAUAGGUAUGCUGUUUCUGGCGGCGGCGGCGGCGUCAACAAUGUAUUAGUUUGUGAUUAGGUCUAGUUUAUGGUGAAUCACUAGCGGUAGGUCAAUGAUAUUUGGUAUGCAGUUGAAUUAGCAUUGGCACAUCUCAUUACCAUGGAGAUUAUUUGGCCCUGCCCCCUCAGUCAUGGUUUAUUGACUUUGAAACUUUGCUUAGUUUUCAUGUAUUAGUUUGUGAUUAGGUCAGUUUAUGGGGAACCACUAGUGGUAGGUCAAUGAUAUUUGGUAUGCAGUUGUAUAAGCAUUGGCAUAACUCAUUUCCAUGAAGAUUAUUUGGCCCCGCCCUUCAGUCAUGGUCUAUUGACUUUGAAACUUUUGCUUAGUUUACAAGUUAGUAUUUAUGUUUAGGUUUCUUUAAAGGGAAUGACUUAUGAAAAGUCAAUGGUAUUUGGUAUGCAGUCGUAUUAGCAUUGGCUUAUCUCAUUUCCAUGGAGAUUGUUUAGCCCUGUACCUUUAGUCAUGGUUCAUUGACUUUGAAUAUUUGCAUAACUUACAUGUAAAAGUAUUGUUAUUUUAAUUUCAACAUUUGCAUUAUCAAAAUAACAAAUAGGCGAGACAUAUCUCUGUGUUAACAGUUUAUUGGUAUGUAUAGUUUUGUUUUGAGUUCAUAGUUCAGAUUGUAUUCAUUAUUUUUUUCCCCCUGUGGCUAGAUUUAAUUGGUACUUUGAAAAUGAAUUGAAAUUGACCACUUUUAUUUGAAGACCUACUCUUUUAGAUAUAUUAAUAAUGGUCCAUGUCUAGUCAAAACACUUCCAGAAGUUAAGAAUGGAGAAUCUUAAAAUAAAAGAAAAAAUGAAAUGUAUAUUUUGGCUUUCACCGUUGUUAAAUAUAUAUCUGUUCCGAAUGUUUUUGUUUUUUUAUGCCCCUGCCAUAGAGAAAGGAGGCAUUAAGUGUUACCCUUGAUGUCCUUCUGUCCUUUUGUUGUUCCUUUUGUCCCAUUUUUGUUUCCGCACUAUUUUUUAAGAGUAAUGCCCCUUUAUCAGUUGGAAAAUUGCAAAUUUGGGCAUUGAGUCACUAAAUUU